UACGAAGGGGGCUAGCGUUGUUCGGAAUUACUGGGCGUAAAGCGCACGUAGGCGGAUAUUUAAGUCAGGGGUGAAAUCCCAGAGCUCAACUCUGGAACUGCCUUUGAUACUGGGUAUCUGGGGUAUGGAAGAGGUGAGUGGAAUUCCGAGUGUAGAGGUGAAAUUCGUAGAUAUUCGGAGGAACACCAGUGGCGAAGGCGGCUCACUGGUCCAUUACUGACGCUGAGGUGCGAAAGCGUGGGGAGCAAACAGG
rnacentral:rRNA from 1 species